rnacentral:tRNA from 1 species
GCGUCAUUGGCUCAGGGGCAGAGCGUCUGGAUAGUAAACAGAAGGUCGCUGGUUCGAUUCCAGCAUGAGGCA